CCUACGGGAGGCAGCAGUGAGGAAUAUUGGUCAAUGGGCGAGAGCCUGAACCAGCCAAGUCGCGUGAAGGAUGACGGCCCUACGGGUUGUAAACUUCUUUUAUCAGGGAGCAAUUGAGUCCACGCAUGGGCUUAGCGAGAGUACCUGAAGAAAAAGCAUCGGCUAACUCCGUGCCAGCAGCCGCGGUAAUACGGAGGAUGCGAGCGUUAUCCGGAUUUAUUGGGUUUAAGGGGUGCGUAGGAGGAAUAUCAAGUCAGCGGGAAAAAUUCGGGGCCCAACCCCGUCGUGCAGUUGAAACUGAUGUUCUUGAGUGGGCGAGAAGUAUGCGGAAUGCGUGGUGUAGCGGUGAAAUGCAUAGAUAUCACGAAGAACUCCGAUUGCGAAGGUAGCAUACCGGCGCCCAACUGACGCUGAAGCACGAAAGCGUGGGUAUCGAACAGGAUUAGAUACCCCUGUAGUC
rnacentral:rRNA from 1 species